rnacentral:rRNA from 1 species
UACGUAGGUGGCAAGCGUUGUCCGGAAUUAUUGGGCGUAAAGAGCGCGUAGGCGGUCCGAUAAGUCGGCUGUGAAAGCCAGGGGCUCAACCCUUGAAAGCCGGCCGAUACUGUCGGACUAGAGUCCGGAAGAGGCAAGUGGAAUUCCCGGUGUAGCGGUGAAAUGCGCAGAUAUCGGGAGGAACACCAAUGGCGAAGGCAGCUUGCUGGGACGGUACUGACGCUGAGGCGCGAAAGCGUGGGGAGCAAACAGG